rnacentral:rRNA from 1 species
AUGAAGGGGUUUCAACAGAAGAACAUUGGGUGCCACCACCUCGGAAGCCGUGGUUACGGCGGGAAGAGGUCCAUAUGGGCCAAGGAGGACGCGGAAGCCGCGAGUCUGGGCAUCCCAGACCCCUUGGCGGAGUUCACCGUCCCGCAGGAGCGUGACGUCCUCAGGGCCCGGCACCGUUGGGACCCAGUGAAGAAGGUUUUCGAGAAGAACGCGGUCACGUCGGAGUUCAUUAGACUACUGAGAGAGCGGCACAAGAUUGCGAACGAAAGCGACUCGCCGUCUGAGGCGUUGGCGAGGCCCAAGUGGGACACUCCAUUCAACCGGACGUUGAACAUAUUGAAAGGACUCCCGGUGGAGACUCGGCCGUCGUAUGGACGCAUGCACGGUGUCGGAGACGGCGCCACGUGGAAGAAGUACUACCGUGAGACCACAGAGGAGAGAAAGGAAAGACGGAGGUUAACUGAAGAAAACAUCGACAAGAAGGUUGAGAUUACGGUUGAAAAAAAAUCAUCUGAGACAGUCGCAACAGCGGUAGCUGCCGCAAAACAGGUGCUUGUAGAUAUGUCUACUACCUUGGUUCCGACCGUUUUCAAUUGGAGCAGGCAAAAUCCAGAAGAAAAAAUGCAGCGGACUUUCCCCUUGCUGACUUCCUCAGGAGCUGCUUGA